GGCAGCCACCUUUCUAACGACAUUUUGACCUCAAGAAAAACCUUCAUAUAAGAGUUACCCAGUGGAACAUCAAAUGCUGUGUUUUAUUGAGAAUGAACGAUAAGUGUUUUCAGGGACAUUUAUGUUGAGUUUUUUAACACAUGUAUCAAUGACAUAAUGCUAAUUAUUCAUUUAUUUACAAAUUAAAAGAAUAUACAUAUUUAUACCAUAUAUAUUCCUUUUCUUAAUUUUCUCAGAUAUAUAUCAGGCAGAUAGGCCUUAAGAAUUACUUCUAUGUGUAACUUCUCCUACAUUUCUCAUCCGAAUUUGACCAACUUUCCACAGAAGCUUUCUCAUUAAGUGCCUAAUGUGCAUAGUGUUGUUGUUUUGCAAUUCAAAAAAUCUUUGGCUGCAUAACGGCCCUUUGCUUAAAAAACCCCCAGAUAAAUACAUGUACAAGUUCUAUGAUAUUUCUCAGGUGAUUUUGACAAAACUUUCACAGAAGUUUUGUUAUCGAGGGUCCUGGUGCAUAUUGUCAGUAUUUAAUGAUUUAAAUUUUUUGGGCAGAAUCAUGACCCUUUUUUCAAUUAGAGAAAUACACUUCUGUUCUUUAAAAAAUUUCAUUAAACUUGAAAAGAAGCAUCAUCACCAAGAGUGCUUGCACAUAUUGUCCGUGUUUUGCAAAUAUUUUGGCAGAAUUAUGCCCUCUUUGUUACAUAAAAUUACUCUUAUGUUUGCAUUUCUUGUUUGAUUCUAGAAGCUACUCAUGCUAUUAUACUAGAUUGAAAUUUUAUACAUAUGUAUAAAACAAACAAAAUGACAAAAGCAACAUAAUUUACUACUAGAAUAGAUAAGAAUUAUGAAUAAAAUUGAAUGUUCUAAAGUAUGUAAUAAUAUGCAUCUAAUAAUAAUUACAUAAAGUUAGCAUUUUAGACCGGUAGGAACUUGAAAGAUACAAAGAAAUAUUCAUCUAUAGAUUAUAAAUGUACAAACAAAUUGAAAGGCCAUAAAUCCCUCUAAACUUUUUUGAAUUGCAAAAUGCUGACAAUAUGUCCAAGGGCACUAGAUGAUGAUGUGACAAUAUGUCCCAGGGCACUAGAUGAUGAUGUGACAAUAUGUCCCAGGGCACUAGAUGAUGAUGUGACAAUAUGUCCCAGGGCACUAGAUGAUGAUGUGACAAUAUGUCCCAUGGCACUAGAUGAUGAUGCUGACAAUAUGUCCCACGGCACUAGAUGAUGAUGCUGAAAUGUUAAGUUGAAAACAUUAUUUCAUAAUGUUGCAGCAUUUCUUGUUACAAUAUAUAUCCAGGACAGGCAAUGGAUAUAGAUUUAUUAUAAGUAUAAGGUUUUCAUACAAACAUUUAUCAGAUAGGUUAACAUUCUUUGCAGACUGGCUUUAGCAGAGCUUGCCACAUCAAAAUUCUUCUAAGGACCAGAAUAUUCAAAGGUAUUGACACACAAUCUGCAACUGGUCGAGAAGGAUCAUUACAGACUUGUCGGUGGAUUGUUAGCUCUUUCUCUGAUAAAGGACGGACCUGGGAUCCAUUGCCUUAAUAAGCAACUAUUUCCUCUUAUGGACAAGAAGCUGAAUCAACACCAAUUGAGCAAAUCAUGGAUCCUGAAUUUCUGCAAUGUUUGGAAAUGUUGGAAACAGUCAACACAGACCAACAGAAAGAUCAGUUCUUGUCAAGAUAUGGUGACUGGCUUAUGGACAAGAGUAUAAAUAUUUACAGGUUCCAGAUAAAAGAAAAGGAAUCUGUAAAACAUAUGCUUAUAAAGUAUUAUGUCUUAUACAGGUAAUUUAUUAAUCCCUUUCCACAUAGUGUGGAAGGGAUUAUAGGAAUGGCCUCCAUCUGUCAGUCCGUCUGCCCUUCCCGGGCCAUCUAACUGUAAACUGAACAAAAGACUUCAUCCGUAACAAUAGAUUAAGGGGCCAUGGCCCUCUGUUCAAUCAAAAGGAAAUAACAUAAGAAAUGGCCCAUUAGUCCAAUUUGGCGGAGCAUCUGUCUGUCCGUUCGUAACAAUUUUGUGUCUGCUCCAUCACUUUUAAAUCGCUGAAAUUUUUUUUAAAUAACAUGCCACAAGUGAUCACCAUUAUGAGACAAUGUGCAAAGCGCAAUAAUUGGGUUACUACCCUCAAGGUCAAGGUCAAACUUAAAGGUCAAGUGUUAAAAGUUUACAUUUUGUGUCCGCUCCAUAACAUUUAAACUGCUGCAAUUUUUUCAGAUCACUUGGCAGAAAUGAUCACCAGUAUGACAUGAAGUGUAGAAACCAACAUCCAGGUUGCUACCCCCAAGGUGAAGGUUAAAUGUUCUCCAUAACUUUUCGACUUUAUGGAAGUUUUUAAAUAUCUUUGCACAAAUAAUUACAAUCAUGAGACUAUGUGCCUACAAUAUGCAUGGCACAACAUCAAGGUCAUGAUUGGUUAAUGGUCAAGAAGAACACAUUCAUGUCUGCUGCGGAAAGGGAUUUAGCUGUCCUUCAGAUUGCCUUGUUAAUAUUUAUGUUGAAAACUCAUGUAUAAUAAAUGAAUAUUGGAAAAGGAGGAAUAUUGUUUUUGCAGUUUGAUGUCAAGUCUGUUGGUUGAAAGGUUGACCAGCUGAAUUCCCCUUGUUAACUAGAAAACUAAUUUGUCCACAGUCUUCAAACAUAACAGGAUGACCAUCCUCCCCCCUCAUUGAGUAGAUAAGCCUAAUGUUUUCAGGCACUCAUGCCUGAACCAUUUCUGCCCAAUUACUUGAGAAGCAUUUUACCUAUAGCAUUCAAAAGUUAUAAGAUGUUGACUCUUAUUAAGUACAUCUCCCCUAUUGUUUUUGGGCAAUUAUGCAUGAUGGUCAAGGUCACAGUGAACCAUUCCAGCUCAAUAACUAGAGAACCACUUGGCUCACAGUCUUUACACUUCACAGGAUGAUCACUCUUAUUGCUAAUGAUGAAUCUUUUUGUUUUUGGGCACUCACACAGAAGCAUUGGCUGAUGGUUUAACUGUCCAAAUAUCUCAUUGGUUUCCUUGGGAGACAUACUUGAAAUGCUCAAAGUAUAGUAUAUAAACGAUUUGAACCCCAACCGGAUCUUGUGAGAAGAUCUCAGCAUCUAAACGUACAACCAGGCAGAAUGACACAUUAAACUAUUAAAGAUCGGAUUGAAUUUAAUGUGUUACGAUGGAAACCAGCUCGCAACUUUGGAGGAUAUAUUGGCUUUUAUAACUGGGGCAAGCAACAUUCCGCCUUGUGGUUUUAGUAAGGCUAAAGAAGUUUUUAUAACUGGGGCAAGCAACAUUCCGCCUUGUGGUUUUAGUAAGGCUAUAGAAGUUUUUAUAACUGGGGCAAGCAACAUUCCGCCUUGUGGUUUUAGUAAGGCUAUAGAAGUUUUUAUAACUGGGGCAAGCAACAUUCCGCCUUGUGGUUUUAGGUAAGGCUAUAGAAGUUUUUAUAACUGGGGCAAGCAACAUUCCGCCUUGUGGUUUUAGUAAGGCUAUAGAAGUUUUUAUAACUGGGCAAGCAACAUUCCGCCUUGUGGUUUUAGUAAGGCUAUAGAAGUUUU